rnacentral:rRNA from 1 species
GAUGAACGCUAGCGGCAGGCUUAAUCCAUGCUAGUCGAAGGGUAGCAAGAUUGUAGCAAUACAAUUGUUGACGACCGGCACACGGGUGUGGCACACGUACACAACCUUCCUAUUCGUGGGGAAUAGCCCAGAGCCAUUUGGAUUAAUACCCCGUAACAUAGCCAUGUGUCAUCACAUUGCUAUUAUAGCUACUCCGCUUGUUGAUGGGUGUGCGGCUGUUUAGAUAGUUGGCGGGGUAACGGCCCACCAAGUCUACGAUCAGUAGCUGAUGUGAGAGCAUGAUCAGCCACACGGGCACUGAGACGCGGGCCCGACUCCUACGGGAGGCAGCAGUAAGGAAUAUUGGACAAUGGACGCAAGUCUGAUCCAGCCAUGCCGCGUGAAGGAUUAAGGUCCUCUGGAUUGGAAACUUCUUUUAUAAGGGACGAAAAAAGGUCUUUCUAGAUCGUCUGACGGUACCUUAUGAAGAAGCACCGGCGAACUCCGUGCCAGCCGCCGCGGUAAAAC